rnacentral:rRNA from 1 species
UACAGAGGUCUCAAGCGUUGUUCGGGAUCCCUGGGCUUAAAGGGCGCGUUGGCGGGUCUCCCAGUCUGUGGUGAAAUCCUCCAGCUUAACUGGAGAAGUGCCGUGGAUACUGGAGACCUCGAGGAGGAUAGGGGCAUCUGGAACGGUCGGUGGAGCGGUGAAAUGCGUUGAUAUCGACCGGAACUCCGGUGGCGAAGGCGAGGUGCUGGGUCCUUUCUGACGCUGAUGCGCGAAAGCCAGGGGAGCAAACGGG